AGUGGUCAGGAGGUUUAUUGGGCCUAAAGCAUCCGUAGCCGGCUGUUCAAGUUUCCGGUUAAAUCCACACGCUUAACGUAUGGGCUGCCGGAAAUACUGUUCAGCUAGGGAGUGGGAGAGGUAGACGGUACUCGAUAGGAAGGGGUAAAAUCCUUUGAUCUAUUGAUGACCACCUGUGGCGAAGGCGGUCUACCAGAACACGUUCGACGGUGAGGGAUGAAAGCUGGGGGAGCAAACCGGAUUAGAUACCCGGGUAGUCCCAGCUGUAAACGAUGCAGACUCGGUGAUGCAUUGGCUUGUGGCCAGUGCAGUGCCGCAGGGAAGCCGUUAAGUUUGCCGCCUGGGAAGUACGUACGCAAGUAUGAAACUUAAAGGAAUUGGCGGGGGAGCACCACAAGGGGUGAAGCCUGCGGUUCAAUUGGAGUCAACGCCAGAAAUCUUACCCGGGGAGACAGCAGAAUGAAGGUCAAGCUGAAGACUUUACCAGACAAGCUGAGAGGUGGUGCAUGGCCGUCGCCAGCUCGUGCCGUGAGAUGUCCUGUUAAGUCAGGUAACGAGCGAGACCCUUGCCUCUAGUUGCCACCAUUACUCUCUGGAGUAGUGGGGCGAAUUAGGGGGACCGCCACAGUUAAUGUGGAGGAAGGAGAGGGCCACGGCAGGUCAGUAUGCCCCGAAACCCUGGGGCUACACGCGGGCUGCAAUGGUAGCGAC
rnacentral:rRNA from 1 species